GCAGCUCAGUUGGUAGAGCAUGAGACUCUUAACUGCAGGAUCAUGAGUUCGAGUCUCACGUUGGGCA